rnacentral:ncRNA from 1 species
UGUGAACGGCUAACCACCAGCACGGAACUGAACCAUACGUAUGAGGAGGUAACGAAUUAUGCGAAGCUAUGGCGAGGGCGGUUUGUCAGCCACAAUCCCGACUGGUCGGGUUAAAGGUAUUGAGCCCCGAAAUAAUCCUUAUUGCAUUGGGUCAAGGGUUUCAUGUCCUGGAAACCAAUAUCAGGACGCUCGUUAAAGGUGAGAGUGUUAUUGACGUGCCGGGGUCUGAGUC